rnacentral:lncRNA from 1 species
GCGCUGCACUGGGCCGCCAAGCACGGCAAGGAGGACAUGGCCACGCUGCUCGCGGCCGCCGGGGCCGACGUCAACACGAGAGCUGUGAGCAGGGCACGCGGCGCGAGCCCGGGGCCUGCUGAGGGGCACGAGCRGCCCCGACGCUAACUGCUUUUCUCCUCUCCCUGCCCGCGGCUGCGCCCGGAUCCAGCACGUGAGGCUACACCCCGCUGCACAUCGCGGCGCUCCACGGGCACCGCCAGAUCGUGGACCUGCUCGUCGAGCGCUUCGGGGCCAAGCAGGACCUGCGGGAUUACAGCGGGCGCCUGCCCGGGCACUACCUGAGUGCCGCAGCCGCGCAGGAUGGGGCCACCGAGACCCCCCGUAAGAGCCCGUCCGCCCGCGGGGAGCCGGCACCAUGGGGCGAGAGGGCAAGGGGGAGGCGUUUGGGUUGGGGGCA